rnacentral:rRNA from 1 species
AGGACGAACGCUGGCGGCGCGCUUAACACAUGCAAGUCGAGCGAGAACCAGGGCUUCGGCUCUGGGGACAGCGGCGAACGGGUGAGUAACACGUGGGUAAUCAACCCUCGACAUCGGGAUAGCCCGGGGAAACCCGGAUUAAUACCGAAUGCUCCGUCUGGCCUUCGGGCCGGCCGGAAAAGGUAGCUUCGGACUCCGGUCGGGGACGAGCCCGCGGCGGAUUAGCUUGUUGGUGGGGUAAAGGCCCACAAGGCGACGAUCCGUAGCUGGUCUGAGAGGACGAUCAGCCACACUGGGACUGAGACACGGCCCAGACUCCUACGGGAGGCAGCAGUGGGGAAUCUUGCGCAAUGGGCGAAAGCCUGACGCAGCGACGCCGCGUGAGGGAAGAAGGCCUUCGGGUUGUAAACCUCUUUCAGGAGGACGAAGCCACUCGGGUUAAUAGCCCAGAGGUGACGGUACCUCCAGAAGAAGCCCGGCUAACUACGCGCCAGCAGCCGCGGUA